rfam:TPA: Bos taurus chromosome 6, whole genome shotgun sequence.
UCCCUGGUGGCUCAGAGGUUAAAGCGUCUUGCCUGCAAUGCAAGAGACCCGGGUUCGAUCUCUGGGUUGGGAA